rnacentral:lncRNA from 1 species
GCCCGUCAGGGUCACCCUCUCCUCCCUGCAGUGCAGUGUGGAAGCACGCAGUGAAGCUGCUCGUCAUGGUCUACGUGGUCACCAUCACUGGACUGUCGUGUUACAUACUGUUUGUGGACGCCACCUUCCUCUUCGAAAGGGUGCUGCCCAGCGUGCUGGGGCACCGUACCAUGUGGGAUCUUCGGGAGAUGAUGGCGCCUUUCUUGAAUUUGGAAGCGGAAGACUUGUUACCGUCCUAAAGAUCCUAAGUUACUGAUAACUGACUCUCUUCCUCUGCAAUAAAACAUGUUCCUAUA